AUUGAACGCUGGCGGCAGGCCUAACACAUGCAAGUCGAACGGUAACAGGAAACAGCUUGCUGUUUCGCUGACGAGUGGCGGACGGGUGAGUAAUGUCUGGGAAACUGCCUGAUGGAGGGGGAUAACUACUGGAAACGGUAGCUAAUACCGCAUAACGUCGCAAGACCAAAGAGGGGGACCCUCGGGCCUCUUGCCAUCGGAUGUGCCCAGAUGGGAUUAGCUUGUUGGUGGGGUAACGGCUCACCAAGGCGACGAUCCCUAGCUGGUCUGAGAGGAUGACCAGACACACUGGAACUGAGACACGGUCCAGACUCCUACGGGAGGCAGCAGUGGGGAAUAUUGCACAAUGGGCGCAAGCCUGAUGCAGCCAUGCCGCGUGUAUGAAGAAGGCCUUCGGGUUGUAAAGUACUUUCAGCGGGGAGGAAGGGAGUAAAGUUAAUACCUUUGCUCAUUGACGUUACCCGCAGAAGAAGCACCGGCUAACUCCGUG
rnacentral:rRNA from 1 species